ensembl:snoRNA
CUGCACUGAUGAUUGUAGAUGUGACUGACCUGGCACUGCUGUCUUCCGGGGCAGCUCUGGCCAGGAAAUGACCUCUGUUAAUCUUCUCUCUGAGCAG